UACGGAGGGGGCGAGCGUUGUUCUGAAUCAUUGGGCGUAAAGGGCGCGUAGGCGGCCGUCCAAGUCGGGUGUGAAAUCCCUCGGCUCAACCGAGGAACUGCACUCGAUACUGGUCGGCUAGAGUCCGGGAGGGGAUGGUGGAAUUCCCAGUGUAGCGGUGAAAUGCGUAGAUAUUGGGAAGAACACCGGUGGCGAAGGCGGCCAUCUGGACCGGAACUGACGCUGAGGCGCGAAAGCCAGGGGAGCGAAUGGG
rnacentral:rRNA from 1 species